GAUGAACGCUGGCGGCGUGCCUAAUACAUGCAAGUCGAGCGAACAGACGAGGAGCUUGCUCCUCUGACGUUAGCGGCGGACGGGUGAGUAACACGUGGAUAACCUACCUAUAAGACUGGGAUAACUUCGGGAAACCGGAGCUAAUACCGGAUAAUAUAUUGAACCGCAUGGUUCAAUAGUGAAAGACGGUUUUGCUGUCACUUAUAGAUGGAUCCGCGCCGCAUUAGCUAGUUGGUAAGGUAACGGCUUACCAAGGCAACGAUGCGUAGCCGACCUGAGAGGGUGAUCGGCCACACUGGAACUGAGACACGGUCCAGACUCCUACGGGAGGCAGCAGUAGGGAAUCUGCCGAGAGGGGCGAAAGCGUGACGGAGCAACGCCGCGGGAGUGAUGAAGGUCUUCGGAUCGUAAAACUCUGUUAUUAGGGAAGAACAAAUGUGUAAGUAACUAUGCACGUCUUGACGGUACCUAAUCAGAAAGCCACGGCUAACUACG
rnacentral:rRNA from 1 species